rnacentral:rRNA from 1 species
GACGAACGCUGGCGGCGUGCUUAACACAUGCAAGUCGAACGGAAAGGCCCUGCUUUUGUGGGGUGCUCGAGUGGCGAACGGGUGAGUAACACGUGGGUAACCUGCCCUUGACUUUGGGAUAACUUCAGAAACUGGGGCUAAUACCGGAUAGGAGCUCCUGCUGCAUGGUGGGGGUUGGAAAGUUUCGGCGGUUGGGGAUGGACUCGCGGCUUAUCAGCUUGUUGGCGGGGGAGUGGCUUACCAAGGCUUUGACGGGUAGCCGGCCUGAGAGGGGGACCGGCCACAGGAGCACUGUGGAUCGGCACGGACAGCUACGGGAAUCAGCGGUGGGAAAUUUUGCACUAGGGUCGGAAGCCUAGUUCAGCAACGCCUCCUGCAGGAUGACGGCCUUCGGGUUGUAAACCUCGUUCGCCUGGCACUAAGCGAGAGUGACGGUAAUGUGUAAAGAGGCUGGGGCUGACUUCGUG